ensembl:lncRNA
CGGUGAUACCGCCUCCCUUUAUACACUCUUCUAAAACAACUGUGAAGCACAUUGGGCAACAAAGUUGUUUUAAAAUGUGCUAUAUAAAGAUAUAAAUAAAAGUUGAAGUUGAAAACCAGUUCUCGCCUCUUUCUUGGUCAUGUCAGUCAUGUCUGGUUUGAUUAGGCAGCCCGAGCAAAGAGCAUUUUCAAGAAUGUCGUUUUAAGAUUCAACAACCUUUCUGGUGAUGAAAUUACCACUGGAGCUUAGCAAGACUCAAUUUUUACCACAAAAGCCCUAGAAAAUGAGGGUGGAGCUAUCACCUAGACAAAGUUGGUGCAAACCGCUACCCCAAGUAAAUGUAUGCCUUUCAUGUUCCACACCCUUUCCCCAUCACUAAUUGUAGUGGUGUUUUGAGAAAAUUAAAAAUGAAAUGUGAGUGUAUCCUCUACCAAGACAGCAAUCCAAAAUACAAGGCCAAUGAAUCUAUCUAGAUAUCUAUGUAGAUGUAUAUCUAUCUUGUGUGGUGUGUGUGUGUAUCUCUCUCUCUCUCUUCUCUUUCUCUCUUUCUCUCUCUCUCUCAAAAUAUUAGUGUGUGUAUAGAGAGAGAGAUUUUCCACUGUUGCUGGAGCUGGCAUUGCUGCAGGGAAACGGCAAAUAUAUUGAGAAUCAGCCCUCAUUUUCACUGGAUUAAGCCACUAAAUUCUAACAACCCAGUGGUACAGAAUGUUUUUUUCAUUGUAGUUAGUGAAGAUGCAUUAAAUAUGCAUUCCAAGGAGAAUCUUAAUGAGGAGCUAGAAGCAAAGACACUAAAUAACUAACAUCAUGAACAUAUUAACAAGAUUAUAAGUACAAGGUUAGCACUUGUAAAAAUAAAUAAAUAAAUAAAAUAAAAUAAAAACCCGACUUCGACAACUCUGCCAUUAAACUUGAAUCCUAGAAGACCGUCAUCAUAGAUAAUUAUACACACACACACAAAAAAAAAUUCUAACACAGUGUGCCAUUGAUUCAUUGUUGCAAUAUUAAUGGAUCACUUUUUUUUGUUUGUUUAAUUCAGCAAUAAUCUUUAAACCCCCAACACACAUUUUUCAGGCAUUGAAACGGCACAGAAUUAGCUCCAGGUAAACAGGCUUUUGGCGGUAGGGCCAAAAGUUUUGAGUUGGAAACAUCUGGAAUGGUUCCAGUUUAGACCUAACAUACAGAACCAUGAACAAGAGGUUAAGACCUGGUCAUAGGAUCUUUCAUCAAAUCUUAAAUCCAAAUGAACAGAACUGGUUGCAGGAUGGAAAAUCAAUGUUUUGCUAUCCUAAUCUCUGGACUGUAAACCUGUUGAAAAAUUGAUUGGAAGGAGACGAUCCGCAUGAGCAAACCUACCAAAGUUAAGGAAAUUAAACCUUUUUAAACAGAGUUAUUAGGAAGUGGUGCUAUUGUUAGGUGUGAUGGUGCCAACAUUUUUUAAAUUUAAAAUUUUUUAAACAUGCGGCGUAUAAAAAUUAAUCCUUUUUAAGUUAACGGUCUUAUUGGGCCGCACACAAACCAAACAAACACACCAAGCCAAGGCAAAAGAGCCAAAAUGUAUAAAACACUCCAUUUAAAAGGGAAAUAAGGGAGUGUUAGGGUGAGGAAAUCCUGACACGGCCCAAACUUUCCCCCGCUAACACAAUGACCCACACGGAACUAUUAACAUCCCAGUGAAGCAUACAAUCCUCUCCACCAUUAAUUAGCACUCUAUAAAACAUGAAAAAAACAUUUCAAAUUAAUUUUAUGCCUCAGUUAAUACUGUCCAGCAAAGUGGUGUGUUUUUUUUUGUUGUUUGUUUUUUUAAAGUUGUGUUAAAUUUUAUUUGGUCUCAUUUACUCUCUUCCAUUUUUUUUUUUUUAAAACAUUUUUUUUUUAAACGUUCCACAGGUUAAAACAUUACAAGAGGCAAAACACACACUUGAGCACAUUUUGUAGAUACAUAAAAACACAGACUCUCUGAAACACAAAGUCAUAGAAUGAUUAGGCCCAGCCCAGUAUGUCAUUUUGCAAUCACAAAAAAACAAACAAAAAAGGCAACAUCACAAAGCCCAGUGGAAAUCGAACACAUCCAUAAUAGGAAGGAAGGACAGCAUAAAAUCUUAUUCAGGUGCCACGAAAUGGAAUAUCAUCAUAAAGUCUAGUAUUAAAAACAAUGAAUUAAACAAAAGCAAACAUGUUUUCUCAGUAAGAAGAACAAACGUCCAAGAGCGCUUGUGUCCAUUUGAAUUUUUUUUUCUUUCUUUUUCUCCUUCUUCUGAGUCAUUUACAAACAAUGGAAUGGAGAAAAAUAUGUAGGGAUAAAAAAAAAAUAAAAAAUUAAAAUUAAAAAAAAUCGCAGAAUCGGUCGUCGUCCAAAAAGCCUGUCUGUAACCGACUACGGAUGAUGGUUGAGAUCGUAUGAGCUUGUAGAAUAGAUUGAUUUGUCCCUUUGCAGCACCCAUACAUCUCCAUCACACGCUCCAGUGACGUAAAAUACAAUACACAAAGCAUCCUGAUGAGGACUCUGUCUCUGGCCCGUUAAAAUAUCUUUAAUCCAGUGUCUAAAAGGCCUUAAUAAAUAUAAUUAUCUCUCGCUUUUAAAACAAAAUAAUCUUUCUCUCACACGGGAGUGCACAGUACUAGUUACUCUGUCGAAGCUGAUUGUGCUUAGCACAAAAUACAGUUUAGCCUAGUUACUGAAGAAGCAGAUGGAAAAGCAUUAGCAAAGAGCACAGGCAUAAAAAACAAACAAUUAGUCUAGUCUGUUAUUUCCGAUGCUAAUUGCUACGUUUAAAACCAUAGCCCAAGACACUCCUUCAUCCUAAAUGGUUUAGAAGAGCGGGUUACAAAGUUUCUUUGGCACAAGAAAUUAUGCUAGUACAUGAUAACAGUGUCUUAUGAACAACUACAUCUUGUACAGAUUAAAACCACUACUGACAAGUCGAGAGGAGAGAAAAAAAGACUGAUAAAACAAAAAAAAAGAGGACAAGGUGGCACUGAUAAAUGAGAACUUGCUAAUGAUGGCUCGUAUGACGGUUAUGAUGAAUUGCUGCUGGGCUUUCGGGUGUGAGCGCAGCUGUUCAGUGUGACCUAGAGAUCCUGACUAGCAUUAAGAGCAGCCAUUUAUAUAUAUAUAUAUAUAUAUA